GAACUUCUAUCAGUUUCUAAACCAGUCUUUGGUUCCAUUCUCGUAUGGAUGUGAGGUCUGUGCUCCAGCUUGCUUGUUUAUUUUCUUUCACCGCUGUGCACACACACACACGCACACACACACACAAUUAUAUUUGGCGAAAUGAUUUCAGUGGUAACGGGGCAUGCUUCGUCGAUGCAAUGAUGCAAAUGAUGGAGUGUCAUUCCAGAAGUUCUUAAAAGCUGCAAAACACUCACUAGCAGGGUAGAUGUCUAUGCUAACGAGCUAUGUAGCUGAUAGCUUUAGCGUUCAUCACAAGUUUGUUUAAUGGUGCAUUCGAGUUCAUUCUAGUGAUAUGGCACAUAGGAAACAAGUAUUCCAGUCUAAGGUUCUUCAGAUGCUGUACCUUACCUACCAGGCCUGUGAAAGAAUCCAGCUCUCCACCCCUUGAGACCUCUGUGAAACAAAAGUAGGCCUAGAGGAGGAGGGCACUAUCACUGGAGAAAGAGAAGGCGAUAUCGAGGGCGGUGGUCGGGGUGCCUUGUAAGGAUCUGGUGGAGAUAGAGGGAUAACACUAUCCCCAGCCAGGCAGACGAGUGCAGAUUACAAGACGAGUGCAGAGGGAUCUGUCACGCCUUCAGCCAGCAUGCAUAAAUACUGUGGAUUUGUUGAGAACACUCAUGACUCCAACAAAGAUGAAGAGGUAGAAGAAGAAGAAGAAGGAGAAAUGGGAACUGUAGCUCCAGGAGGUGGGACAGUGGUGGACGGAGCGGGCCAGGUUACAGGAUCCAACCCUGGGGACCCCCAUGGAGGAAGGAGUGUGGCUCAACAAGAAGAGGAGGAAGCAACGUCAUAAACAGAAGCUCUUGUCUCUGGGUCUGGUGCUGCGGCUCGAGUUCACCUACGAGAGCGAGGGGGGAGGAAGAGAUGAGGCAGAGAAGAGCAGCUGAAGUGAUAAUCUUCCUCAGGACCACACAAGAUCUAUGUGUCUGAUUCUCCACAGCCUCUAGUCCCUGGUGCAGCGACAGGACACAGCAAGGAUGGCAAAGGAUCUGCAGGAUCUGCAGGAGCUCCAGAACAGCUCUAUCAUGUCUACUGGUGAUGCCACUGCAGUUGUGUCCCUGUUUCAGUAUUGGAUCACAGACAUCCCGCACCAUGCAGAGAGAAUGGAAAACAGGCCAACCUACAACAUAACCUUCCUAGUCGAGCCAGCCAACAACACAACUUUAGACUUUCCUAGAUGUUCAGGGUUUUUAACAAUACUGCUGACGGAAAACAUGUCUGACUUAAUUCAUUGUGAGCCCAUGUAACGGAGUUAAGUACAUAGCGUAAACUCACUCCACAGCUAGCUUGAAAUGUCGCGGAUGGAGCCAUCCAAUCGGUACCUUUUAGGUGGCUCAAACCGUUGGAAUGUUGUCAAGGAGGGAGGCCACAUGUGUUAGCAAAGCAGAGGUCCCGAGUUCGAGCCAGGUACGAGCCGAAUCGGGGAAGUGAUACCAGACGUUGUGUUAGCUAAUCUAAGUUUAUCAUUAGAAAACCCUUUUGCAAUUAUGUUAGCACAGCUGAAAACUGUUGUCCUGAUUAAAGAAGCAAUAAAACUGGCCUUUAUAGACUAGUUGAGUAUCUGGAGCAUCAGCAUUUGUGGGUUUGAGUGUGUGGCAUGCUUGAACAGAGGCAUUUGUGGUUCUGUGGUCUGGCCCACCAUCCGAUUGAAUGAUAAAGAUUGACUUGUUGAGAGACACAUCAUCUUCACUGUAGUUCUAUCCACUGAGGAUGCUGAGAUUUUUCAACUGUAUUUUCGAAGGGGGCUGGAAGGCUAGAAAACCUUGUCCUUGACAGUGACAUGAACUUUCCCAUCAUAGAAUGAACUAGAUGGAGAUCCUGGGAUCAACAUGACAGAUGGUACAAGUCCACUGAUGUGAUAAUCAUGGUCGGCAGCUGCUAGAACUGGCCCGCUCACAGGAGCAAUGCUUGGAUGUUUGCCUCUGUUACAGGUCCCUAUAGGCUGGCCAGGUUCUCCGACAGGGAUGAUUGCCUUAUCAGCCACACAUAACAUUUCACUGUCCUUCUGCCACAUGCAGGCUAACUGUUUUAAUGUAGGUCCAAACUUUGAGUCUUGAUGUUCCUUUCUCAUCACCUGAGACUGGACUAUGAACUUGAGGUCAAACCUUCCUGUGUACUGGAGAGCAGACAUGGACCAUGGAUUCUUGGGUGUAAACUGCAGUCUUAGCCCCUGUAUUGAUGGGAUUUUAGUUUCUGGUGGAAGCCGCUUUUCCACUUUGUAACACAAGUCCUCAACUAAUAUAUAUAUAUAUUUUUUUAACCUUUAUUUAACUAGGCCAGUCUGUUAAAAACAAAUUCUUAUUUUCAAUGACAGUGGGUUAACUGCCUUGUUCAGGGGCAGAACGACAGAUUUUUACCUUGUCAGCUCUGGGAUUUGAUCUUGCAACCUUUCGGUUACUAGUCCAAUGCUCUAACAAUCGUUGACCUGAGCUGUGUAUUUGUUAAAAUACUUCUGUACUUCAUCCCAAAAGGACUGAAAUGAGGAUUGUGGUUUGCCAUUCAGCUUCCUUAAAUCCAUGAUCAGGUCUGGGUCAUCACCAUCAAGGAGGAACAAGGAUACUCUCUCAUCAAGUAGGCCCCCUGUUCAUCAUCGUUUGCUUAACUCUUGUCAUCUGUCAGAAACUGAUACAUUUCUCUCAGGAAGUAGCUGUUCAUUUUGCAGCGUGUGCGUAUGUGUUCAGGAAUGUUUUUGCAUUGCUCUAGUGUGGAGUAUGUUGGUAUUUCUUUUCACAGUGGGGAGAUGACAGAAGCCUGGUCUCAUGAACACCGUUGCUGUGUGAGGAUACCUUCCAUAUGAAUGUCAGAGUGCCGAGGUGGUUACCACAGGCAUACUUCUAUACAGUGAAAGUCGAUGGCGGUUUCAAAUUGUCAAUCCAUUUCCUUCUCUGGAAUCUUAUCUUCAGCAGCAAAGUCCAGUUGAAAGAGGGGGUGGAAUUGGGGCACUUUAUCCAAAGCUUGUAACAGAGUACUAUACUGGGGGCUGACCGGUCCGCAUGGUGCUCUCACAGUGUAGCAUAAAACAUCAGACUGGUGUACGUAGGGGAGUGGGCUGUUGGUGACGUCUGGUCAUUGCUUGAUUCACCUUCUCCCAGUGGGAUGCAUCAGCUGCUAUGGACUCUGUUCGACUCGCCAUAUCUUCUCUGAGAUCUAAUGUGAACAGGGAAUACAGGCAGUUUUAGUUGAGAGGUUUAAAACAUAAAGCUUACACGUUUUACAUUUCCUGAAUAAAUGGUGACAUUUUACAAUA